GUCAACCUGCCCUCAGGACGGGAAUAACCCCGGGAAACUGGGACUAAUUCCCAAUAGGAGAGAGGUACUGGAAUGUUCUCUUUCUGAAAUGUUCCGACGCCUGAGGAUGGGACUGCGGUGGAUUAGGUCGUUGGGGGUGUAACGGACCUCCAAGCCGAUAAUCCAUACGGGCGUUGAGAGACGGAGCCCGGAGAUGAACUCUGAGACACGAGAUCAGGCCCUACGGGGCGCAGCAGGCGCGAAACUUUUACAAUGCGUGAAAGCGCGAUAAAGGAAUCCCGAGUGCUCUGGCAUAGCCAGAGCUUUUCUGAAGUGUAAAGAGCUUCAGGAACAAGGGGUGGGAAAAACGGGUGCCAGCCGCCGCGGUAAUACCCGUGCCCCAAGUGGUGACCACGAUUAUUGGGCCUAAAGCGUCCGUAGCCGGUCGGAUGGGUCCUCAGUGAAAUCUUACGCUAAAACGUAAGGCUUGCUGGGGAAACUAUCUGACUUGGGACCGGGAGAGGCCGGGGCUACUCCUGGGGUAGUGGUAAAAUACUGUAAUCCCAGGAGGAGCGCCUGUGGCGAAAGCGCCCGGCUGGAACGGCUCCGACGGUGAGGGACGAAAGCCUGGGGAGCGAAGCGGAUUAGAUACCCGCGUAGUCCAGCCGUUAACGAUGCCCGUUUUGGUGUAGCAUCUCCUACGUGGAGGUGCUGUGCCGUAGCGUAGUGUUAAGCGGGCCGCCUGGGGAGUACGUCCGCAAGGAUGAAACUUAAGGAAUUGGCGGGGA
rnacentral:rRNA from 1 species